UAGCUCAGUGGUCAAGCGUUGGCUUUGGAAGCCACAGGGCGGUGGUUCGAUUCCACGC
rnacentral:tRNA from 1 species